GACGAGGUGGACAAACGUUAUUCGGAUUUACUGGGCUUAAAGCGUGCGUAGGCGGCUCAGAAAGUUGGGUGUGAAAGCCCUCGGCUCAACCGAGGAAUUGCGCUCAAAACUACUGAGCUUGAGGGAGAUAGGGGAGAGCGGAACUGAUGGUGGAGCGGUGAAAUGCGUUGAUAUCAUCAGGAACACCGGUGGCGAAGGCGGGUCUCUGGGCCGUAACUGACGCUGAGGAGCGAAAGCGUGGGGAGCGAACAGG
rnacentral:rRNA from 1 species